AGCCGGUGAUGUUCAAAAAUAUAUUUGCUACUCUCGAGGCCAAACUCGGUGACGACAACUCAUCACCAAGAUCUCUGAGGCU
rnacentral:snoRNA from 1 species